rnacentral:rRNA from 1 species
UGGGGAAUUUUGGACAAUGGACGCAAGUCUGAUCCAGCCAUGCCGCGUGCGGGAAGAAGGCCUUCGGGUUGUAAACCGCUUUUGUCAGGGAAGAAACGCUCUGAGCUAAUACCUCGGGGUAAUGACGGUACCUGAAGAAUAAGCACCGGCUAACUACGUGCCAGCAGCCGCGGUAAUACGUAGGGUGCAAGCGUUAAUCGGAAUUACUGGGCGUAAAGCGUGCGCAGGCGGCUUUGCAAGACAGAUGUGAAAUCCCCGGGCUCAACCUGGGAACUGCAUUUGUGACUGCAAGGCUAGAGUACGGCAGAGGGGGAUGGAAUUCCGCGUGUAGCAGUGAAAUGCGUAGAUAUGCGGAGGAACACCGAUGGCGAAGGCAAUCCCCUGGGCCUGUACUGACGCU